rnacentral:rRNA from 1 species
GACCGUGCUAAGGUAGCGAAAUCACUUGUCUUUUAAAUGAGGACCUGUAUGAAUGGUGGAACGAGGGCUUAACUGUCUCCUUUUUUAGGUCAGUGAAAUUGAUCUGCCCGUGCAGAAGCGGACAUAAACAUACAAGACGAGAAGACCCUUUGGAGCUUAAGACAUACAGUCAACUGUGUUAAAUAUCUUACUUAAAAAAUUUAAACAAAACAAUAACUGACCCUACGUCUUCGGUUGGGGCGACCAUGGGGGAAAACAAAGCCUCCACGUAGAAUGGGACACUCCCUAAAACUAAGAGAGACAUCUCUAAGUCACAGAACCUCUGACUAAAAGAUCCGGCACACGCCGAUUAGCGAACCAAGUUACCCUAGGGAUAACAGCGCAAUCCCCUCCAAGAGCCCGUAUCAACAAGGGGGUUUACGACCUCG